UACGGGGGGGGCAAGCGUUGUUCGGAAUUACUGGGCGUAAAGGGCUCGUAGGCGGCCAACUAAGUCAGACGUGAAAUCCCUCAGCUUAACUGGGGAACUGCGUCUGAUACUGGAUGGCUUGGAUUCGGGAGAGGAAUGCGGAAUUCCAGGUGUAGCGGUGAAAUGCGUAGAUAUCGUAAGGAAGACCAGUGGCGAAGGCGGGUCUCUGGACAGUUCCUGACACUGAGGCACGAAGGCCAGGGGAGCAAACGGG
rnacentral:rRNA from 1 species